rnacentral:rRNA from 1 species
UACGGAGGGAGCUAGCGUUGUUCGGAAUUACUGGGCGUAAAGCGCGCGGAGGCGGCUUUGUAAGUUAGAGGUGAAAGCCCGGGGCUCAACCCCGGAAUUGCCUUUAAGACUGCAUGGCUUGAAUCCGGGAGAGGUGAGUGGAAUUCCGAGUGUAGAGGUGAAAUUCGUAGAUAUUCGGAAGAACACCAGUGGCGAAGGCGGCUCACUGGACCGGCAUUGACGCUGAGGUGCGAAAGCGUGGGGAGCAAACAGG